rnacentral:rRNA from 1 species
UUCCGGUUGAUCCUGCCGGACCUGACUGCUAUCGGAUUGAUACUAAGCCAUGCGAGUCUUUGUAGUAAUACAAGGCAGACGGCUCAGUAACACGUAGUCAAUCUACCCUAUGGACGGGGAUAACCUCGGGAAACUGAGAAUAAUACCCGAUAGAUCAUAAUGCCUGGAAUGGUUUAUGGUUCAAAUGAUUUUUCGCCGUAGGAUGGGACUGCGGUCUAUCAGCUUGUUGGUGAGGUAAUGGCCCACCAAGGCUAUAACAGAUACGGGCUCUGAGAGGAGAAGCCCGGAGAUGGGUACUGAGACACGGACCCAGGUCCUAUGGGGCGCAGCAGGCGAGAAAACUUUGCAAUGUGCGAAAGCACGACAAGGUUAAUCCGAGUGUUUUCUGCUAAAGAAAUCUUUUGUUAGUUCUAAAACCACUAUCGAAUAAGGGGUGGGCAAGUUCUGGUGUCAGCCGCCGCGGUAAAACCAGCACCUCAAGUGGUCAGGAUGAUUAUUGGGCCUAAAGCAUCCGUAGCCGGCUAUGUUAGUUUUCGGUUAAAUCCAUGUGCUCAACACAUGGGCUGUCGUGAAUACUGCAUAGCUAGGGAGUGGGAGAGGUAGACGGUACUCUGUAGGAAGGGGUAAAAUCCUUUGAUCUAUAGAAGACCACCAGUGGCGAAGGCGGUCUACCAGAACACGUCCGACGGUGAGGGAUGAAAGCUGGGGGAGCAAACCGGAUUAGAUACCCGGGUAGUCCCAGCUGUAAACUAUGCAAACUCAGUGAUGCAUUGGCUUGUGGCCAGUGCAGUGCCGCAGAGAAGUCGUUAAGUUUGCCGCCUGGGAAGUACGUACGCAAGUAUGAAACUUAAAGGAAUUGGCGGGGGAGCACCACAAGGGGUGAAGCCUGCGGUUCAAUUGGAGUCAACGCCGGGA